AACUCUGUAACCUAAUUAUCUCAGGGUGUUGGCAGAAGAACUAGAACAAAGGAGGAAAACAUCCAGUUCUUGUCUGUGGGCUUGUUCCUACAUCUUCCAACCCAGAGGCCCCGGGGCCCCGUCAGCUUCUUUCUUCCUGGGAGCCACCAAGGAGAAGAUCAAAACAUGGAGGAGCACGUGAACAGGGAGGCCAGAAGCCAAAGAGUAUGCAAAUCAUGAGAUGGCAUUGUGUGCUGCCCCUGGAGGAAACAAGAUGGGGCCGGAUACAAUAGAGUGCGGCUCGCCUCGUACCACUAAAGUCUGCUUCAUCUGGAGAGACAUCGCUGGCAGCAGCAGGUUCUGUUGAAAGUUCCACGGCGUAUGGACUUCUACAUUGUUCCAAGUUUCCUGAGGUGUUAGCCAAGUUGGCUUGAAUUUCUACAGUACGAUGGACCAGAAUGGUUGUCGUUCUCGGGUCCAGUUCCAGUUUCCGGUUACGGUUCCAGUUACGGUUAUGCGGUUGGUGUCGCGGAUUCAAAGAAAGAGCAAGAUACUGAGGAGGACACUGCUUAUUAUAGGAUCUGUCAGGGGAGGGUCCUUUAUUGUUAUGAUUAUGUAAAUUUCUUCUUUGCUGCUAUUGG